GCGGGCGCUGCCUGGUUUGGAGGCUGGAGGGGGCGGUGCUGCGGGGGCAAAGGGCCGGUGGGCGGGCAGCGCGGGGCAGGAGGGGAAGCCGGAGGACCGAGGAGUCCCACUCUCGCUUCUGGUGGUCUCUGACGUUCCCUGGCUUUUUGCAGCACAACUCCACUGGCUACCUCCAGCAUUGCAUGGUGUCCUCUGUGUGUCUCUGUGUCUUCACAUGGACUUCUUAUAAGGACGCCAGUUCUUGGAAAGCCAACACUCUUCAGAGAGAAAGUGCUACAGGGCUCCAGGCUCUUAAUGGAAACUGACAAUAUGACCCAGGGGAUGGAGGCCUUAAAGACAUCAAGCAGAAGAUGGAUGAGAUGCUCUGCCUGCAGCUCAUUUCAAGAACAGUUCAGCAGUCCUGUGUCUGAGUUAACAGCCUAUGUCUUCCCUCUGCAGAAAACAUUUUUCAUUUUGCCUCCAUUUACUCACCUUGCAAUUUGAAUUCCAUAGCAGAGGCUCCAGGGCAUUAACAUACUCCAUCACAUGGGAGUCAUGGCAGGGACUGGAGAAGCUGCCAAGUAAAAUAGCUCACGGAGACCAGAUGUCCUUGAGAGGGUGACUGAGGUGAUCAAAUAGUACCAGAAACAGAGAACAACCCAACGAGGUAGAUGUAAUGGGCUUCCGGUGGGAUUGUACCAUGGACCAGAUGUGAUUUUGGAGCCAAUAAGUAUUUCCCCUUUUUUCUCGAUUCCCCCAUCCCCUCAUAAACCAAUUAAGCAUGUUCUCUGUCAGAAUCAUGCCCUCUUUCUGCUUAGACCUAUUCUUUUCGACAUGGAAAUGCACAUAUCCUGUGCAUUUACUUAUUUGUAUAUACAUAUACACACAAUAAAAACCUCUUUAGAGCUCAGUUCUUCAAUCUGGUAACUGAAGUUGGGCCACUGUGCUAAUGAGAGCCAUCAUGCUCUAAGCACAGUACUCUUUAAUAAAAAUAUAGCCAGAGCCACAUGUAUAAUUAAAAAAUUUCUAGUGACUAUAUUAAAAUAAAUUAAAAGAAACAGGCAAAUUAAUUUUAGAACAUAUUUUAUUUUAUUCCAACAUAUACAAAUUAUUUUCAUUUUAACACAUGGCACUGGCCACAUUUCAAAUGCUCCAUAGACACAAGUAGCUAGCUGCCAUUGCAGUUCCAGAGUCAGCCUCUUUGUUGUAUCAUCUCAACUUUAGUAAAUCUCAUGACAGCAUUUUCAGCCAGGUAUUGGCAUUUCUAGGGAGGGCUGUAGACCAGAUAUUUUUUAGUAGGUAAAUCCUUACUGGGCCCUUCACUUAACACUGGUUGGAUGUGAAUCUGCAUAGCAUAUUGCCCAUUUGAUGUUUAUAUAUGUUUUUUAUGAUCCUAAAAUAUCACUCUUGGGAAUUGCUAGGAAGAGUCAGAAUGAAGAGAAAUGCCUCAUAUUAAAUAUACUCCUGUAGGCAAAGUAUAAAAUCCAUUCUCUAAAAACUUUGGAAAUUAAGAGCUGAUGUUGUAUAUGAGUGUCUCAAUAUACUUUCCUCCUUCCUCUUUUUUUUGUUGUCUCAGAGGUUCUGCCUCUUUUCUGCUCAUACCUUUCCUCUUCUCCUUGAGGCCUCUUUGGCAUAAAAUUAGAAUCUUGAACAUGUGGAGCUCUUUAUGCUAUCAGUAAUAUAAUUUUUAAAUAAAUGCAAUAAAUUCAUAAUAAGAAUUAGUGGAGCAUACUAUAAAGUUCACACAAUAUUCUUAGAAUUAUACCAUCUAUAAGAAGUCAGUUAACGUGGAAAAAGAGUAUCAAAUCUUGGAUUGACAGAAGUUGUGAUCUUGGUCAAAAUUUUUGGCCUAAAAUUUAAGAUAUUUGAGCUCCAGGCUAUUGAAAUAUGUAUCUGUUAGGAGAGCUUUUUCACUGUAAAUAACAGAACUGCAAAUAACAGAAUGCCUGACAAGCAAUGGCUUAAACAUGUAGAGGUUUCUUUUUCUUAGGUGACAGGAAGCCUGAAGGUAAGUGGAUAUUGCCAUUGGUUCUCCUGCUGGACAAUGGCAUGAGGGACACAAAUUCUUUCCAUGGGCCCAUCCUUAGUGUGUCGGUCUUCAGUGACCCACUUGUUAUCUCCUGAAUGCAGGGGGCUGCUAGAGUUGCAGACACUGUGUGAUUGUUCAAGGAAGGAAGAGGUUCUCAUCAGAAAAACAAAAGUUUUCCAAGAACUAUGUGCCCUGGGCAUACCCCGAUUCAGGAGAGGUUGGGAAACUAUAUUUCUCUUUUUAGCUUCUAGUGGAGGCUGUAAGAGAGAAGAGACUGAGAGUUAAGUUUGUGACCAAACAAUGUCACUUUCUAAUAGCUGGUAUAUUAGUGAACAUAUACUGAGAACUCAUAACAUGUAAGAUAAUAUACUAAGCUUUUUACAGAUAUCUUUUCAUUUUAUCCUUAAAACAACUCUUUGACAUGUCUAUCGUUAUCCCUUCUUUUAUGGUUAAAAAAACAAGAUUUUAGGUAAAUUAAUUUUACCCAGAUCACAUGGGAAUUUCCUUGUUGCUCCAUCAUAAUCAAAUAACUACCCCUUUUGCCAUGGGUCACCUUCCACAUAACCUAUCAUAUUUUAUCAAGAUAUUUGUUUACUUCAUAUUUGUAUUUUAUUUCAUGAAGGCAGAGUGAGACAGGAAGGAGUCAGGGGUAAUUUCUUAGUUUCUGGCUUAAGGAAUUGGGAUAAAGUUGUCUAUUUUCUGAGAAAGGAAGAGGAGUUUUUGGCAAAUAUAAUGUAAGUUCUGUCUUGAAUAUAUUUAAUAGGUGGUACUUGUCUGUCAUCCAAGUUGUUAAGGAUAAUCGGCGUCCGGAGUGUGGAGAAAUCUCUUAGUUAGAACAGACCUGACUUCUAAGACAUAGAUGAUCACAAUGAAACCAAUGUUACCUUCCUAGACUUCUUCUGUUUAAGAAACAAGAAGGUAAGUAGUUCUUCCGUGAAUGCAGAAGAAACGUAGAGAUGACUGUUGGGUCAGAGUGGCUUCUUCAUUUCCCACCAACACUGUAUUAGCUUCUAAGCUGGGUCCCCUGAUGAUGUGCACUUCCUGAUCUUCAUGAGCUCAUGUGAUCAGCCCAUUACGUCCUUGAGUGUCUUGGAUCUGGUGAUUUGGUUCUGAUCAAUAGGACAUGGCAGAAGUGAUGGGAUGUUAUUUUCAUGGCUUGCUAGCAGACUUUGCUCAAACAAUGCACAUGUUGGAGAGGCCCAUGUGGCAAGGAACUGAGGGUGGCAUCUGGCCAACAGAUAGCAAGAAUCUGAGGCCCUCAGUCCAGCAGCCCCUGUGGAACAGAAUUCUGCCAACAACCUGAAUGAGCCCGAAAGUAAAUCCUUCCCCAUUCAGGCUUUCAGAGGAGACACCAGCCCUAUCAGCAACCUGAUGCAGCCUUGUGAAAGGCCCUAGGUAAAGGACCCAGUUAAGCUGGAUUCCUGACACACAAAAAUGGAGGUAAGAAGUGUGUGUUGUUUAAACUACUAACUUGGUGGUAAUUAUUAAACAGAACUAGAUAACAAAUAAAAUCACCUCAAGUCUAGCUGUAGAAGCAGGGGCCAGGUCUGUAUAACAGCUGGGGUAUAUGCAUAGCUAAUUCCAAAAGCAAAGGAAAGGUAACUUGUCUUUAGUGAUUCAAAAAUACUGCAGAGAGAUUGCUUAUAUAUGGAAAUAAAUAACUUGGUCAGCCAAUUAAAACUAGAACUGAGAAUCAAAGCCUUUGGUUCACAGGAGAAAUGAGAAAACCCUGAGAGGGAUGCAGCUAUAUUUUGGCUAGACCCUGAGCAGCAGCAGCUGGCCUAUGAACUAGGCUGAGAUGUGAUUUGGGAGUAGGCUCUGAGCCUCAGGAGACAGAUAAACAGUAAACAUAGUGAUGCAGCAAGAGGCUUUAGACAGGGCUGAGAAACUGAGUAAUCAUCAAGGGCCAAUAAGAAUCAAGGGAAGUUGUAGAUUUUUCUUUACAUCAAUCCAUAAAAAAAUAGGGAUGAUCUUGUUAAAUAAAUGACAAAAAUUCUAACUGAUGAUCACAAACAUCAUUUGUAUUCUAUGAGUAAUUUCCUUUCUUCCCUUUUUUAUUUUUUUAGUGUAACCAUUGAAAGGAUCAAACUCCCCUUCCCUGAGUAAUAAUAACAAUAUAAUCCUAAAUAAAACUGAAAGGGUUGUGUUAGGCACAAAGUAGAGGUUUCUUUAGGGGAGGCUGUUUAAGAAUUGAUGGGAAUAGCUCAGACAAACUCAGGAAGUGCUUCAAAACCCAUUCAUAUAGAACUCCACUGUGAGGCUCCUGAGAGAACCCGAGAUGAAUGUCUGGUAACUGGCUCCCAGCUCCCAUCAAGCUCCCGAACACAAAUAGGAGCAGGUCAAAUGUUUAUCUUCAGAGGUACAGGAAGGGGAGAAAGGAGGAUGAGGAAGGGAGGGAAGGGUCAGUGGGGACACGGCAGGCAACCUGUCUCCAGAUGCUGGCAAGGGCAGGUGGGUCCCAUGUUCUCAGGAUCCCCCUCGCCUAAUCUUCCCAAACUGGGCCGAUAUCUACAAAGAGGUCCCUUGAAACAUUGCUGCCAUCCUGGGCAUCCAGGAGAGCCAUGUCCCUACUGGAGAGGACAACCACUUUCAGGUGGUAUUGUAUCACAGCCAGGCUCUAGGACCCAAGGCUGGCUAGCCCCACACACUCACCCAGUCACUCAUCAAUCUCAGAAUAGGGACUUGAACUUUGCACAUUUGCAUUUUGGGGUCUCAUUUGUUUUGUUAUGAUUUUCUCCAGUAUUUACAACUUGGUUAGCUGCCUCUGGGCCCUGAACAGAUCAGAUGCAAUCCUGUCUGAGCACAGGGGACUGAGCCCCUUUCUUUCUCAUAUUUCAUUCUGUUCCUGGAUCUAUGAUGCAAGGGACCCAAUGCCAACUUCCACUGUCCAAUUCCAGAAAGAAAGGAUGACAUGGAGAACUAACAAGGACCUGAGCUCCCCUUGCCUGAGCACCUAACUCCUAGAAAGCAGUACCAGGACCAGAAGCAACACUAGACAUUAAACAAGACUGCAUGCUCUGCUGGGAACCACUGAACUGGUGACAGACCCAGAGUGGGGCUACAGUAAAUCCAUGGGCUCAAGUGAAUGGUAAUGCCUGCGCAUUCCUGACACUCUUGAAAUCUCACACUUUGUGUUACGUCUGCCAGACUGUUUUGUGUAGAGUGUACCCCCCAUGACAUUGGCUGGUUUCCUGUGGGAAUUAAGUGAGAUCACAUAAUAAGGACGUGUGCCAGCACUGACGGUAAUGUAUGGGUUAACUGCCACUAAGGCCACCAUGCCAUCGCUACGGCUCCUCCCACUGGGUGGAGUGCCCUGUCUCCUUUAAGACUAUAGGCUUCAGACUCAGACUGCCUCAGCAUGAAGCACAGAAUUUUGGGCUAUUUAACUAAUCUAGGCUUCCUCAUCUGCAAAAUGGAAGAAUAAGAAUAAGAAUUUAAUUUAUACAUUGUCAAGAAGUUUAAAUGAGAAAAACAUGUGAAGGACAGUACCUGAAACAGACUUUCCGUACAUGUUAACUAUUAUUCCUCCAGUGAAUAGACUUGGAUGCUAACUUUUAUUAGUUUCUUCUCCUUUAUGCUAUCUUUUCAACACACUGAUUUAGCACCAUUCCAUAGAUGGCAAUAGUCUAGCUAAAGGCCACAAUGAGGUAUAUUUAGCAAUUAGAAAUUGUGACAAAACAACAAAAAAGAUCAUGUACUUCUGUAUGCGAGGGGAGAUUACUACAGUAAAGAUAUCAUUUGCAAAGCACAGGCUGUUAGAAACUUCUUUCCAACACGAUUACCAUUUGUGGGAAACCUUGAUAGAGGUUUAAAAUCUACAUUUGCUUGUUUGCUCUCUGGCUUCACCCAGGUACCUGGUGACAUAGUUUGCUGCGACACAUCUAAUAGAAGAACCUCAAGUCCCAUGUUCAAGAAUUCUGUAAUUCUGCAGAGUUCUCCUUUCCUCUGGAUUGCCUUCAUUCUCUGGGAGGAACUAUCCAUAUGGUAGCUCUGGCUCUUCAAGUUUAUAUUUUCCAAACUAGUAAUCUCACUAGAAAAACAUUCUCCUUUCCAUUAGUAGCAGCAAAAAUGCAGUACCAGCAAGUCCUCUGAUGCACUCAGCUUGUAUCAUAUAACCCUCCGUGAGUCAUUCAUUAUGGCUGGGGUUUCAGACAUUGGGAAUAUACUGGAACCUGGUGCUCUAUGAGCCCAAGCGACCAUCAGGACUUAGAGUAGGAGUGGGUAGCUCCCCUAAAGGAAAUCCAGAUGCCACUAGCCAGAAGAAAGAGUAGGUUCGAAAACAACUUAAGUAGUGAAGACACAUAGUAGAUGCCAAAUGGUAUGUCAAGCAUGGUGCUAAUGUUUUACAUAAAGACAGCAUUACUGCCAACUGACAGAUAAGGACACCAGUUCAGAAGGUUUGAACAACUUGCGAGGCUUUUGCAAUCAUAGUUUGGCAGAAACCAGAUCUGAGGCCUGUAGAAAAGGAGAUUUGCCCGAAAGAGAGUAGGCAAUUGGGCUGAUUGCCUUGAAAGGAAGGGGCUAAGCCUUGCUAGCAUGGGGGAAAUUAGGAUGAGAGAGGGUUUGUUAUGCCCAGAAAUAGAGAUGCUUUACCCAAAAGCCAAAGGGAUCAUUUAUCACCUAGCAAGUUCAGCAUCAGAUUCUAAUUUUAGAAAACUUCAAGUCUAUAUGAUCUCGCAUUUACUGGCCAUGUAGGCGACAUGGCUGUUGGCUCUGAGGGGUGGAGUUGCCUGCCUGGCAGGGUGAUCUGGGGAAUGGCCAGGUCCUCUGCUUGAACCAGUGCAAUGUAUAUUGAAGCCAGGAAACUCUUUUAACUUAUAAACAGCUGUAAAAUUAACAUAUUUACUUGUAUGAUUUCUUCAUGUGAUGGUUCUCCUCCUUGAGUUUGUAAAGCUAAUGCAUGCUUUAGUUAAUCUUAAUAAUAUGGACCACCCCUCUACUAAGUUAUGGCAAAAAGUAAUUGAACUGGGGUGAACAGUAUUUAAAUAAUAUCCAUUUGUUGAAGGUAAAGGGAAGAAUUGGUCACUAUAUGCAGGUCACCAUCUGCCCUUCGUUUCAAUCCUUCAGAAUCUGCUGGAAAAGGGUUUCUGCUGCUAUUGCUCAAAGGACUAGAAUCAAGGGUUUAAUUAGGUCUGGGCUUUGGAAAUGUUAUGUCUCCCUACCAUGAAUGAAGUCAUGGAGAAGGUGUGACCAAUGGUUGACUCAGAAGCUGGACCUGGGCAACUGGGGGCUCCUCCUCCUCACACCCCUUUAUUUGAAUGUACAUUCUGCCCACCUUUUCCAUAUUAGGAGCUGUUUUUAAGGAUGCAGCUUUGAGAGAGCAGCGUGUCGAUGAGGCCCUCUGGACUGGAUAUGUCUCUGGACCAAGUUUAGGCCUCUGUAUAAAUCUUUAAGAUUCUGAUGGGCAGGCGUGGAGAUCUGCUCCUCUUGUGGACUCCCAGAUCAAGCCUUGCAAGUUCCCCACUACCCCCAGUCCGGACUGGCCUGCCUCUUUCUUCUGUCUCUCUUUGCCUCUGUGUGUGGAGGCCAGUGCUGGAUUUCACCUGGGGAACCUCCAGGGUUGUGAACCAACACCUACAACUGGGUUCAUUAGUGUGCAAACAGUAUCCUAACAUGGCUUCCCAUAUUCCAAGUGUGAUAUCUGAGAACAAGGAUAAAGACAGUGGCUUGCUGGCGGCUCACUUAUCCCAGCAAAUGGAGGUGGCUUU